UACGUAGGCAGCGAGCGUUGUUCGGAGUUACUGGGCGUAAAGGGUGUGUAGGCGGCUCCCUAAGUUUGGUGUGAAAUCUCCCGGCUCAACCGGGAGGGUGCGCCGAAAACUGGGGGGCUAGAGUGCGGGAUGGGAAAGUGGAAUUCCUGGUGUAGCGGUGAAAUGCGUAGAUAUCAGGAGGAACACCGGUGGCGAAGGCGGCGUUCUGGACUGCAACUGACACUGAAGAACGAAAGCCAGGGGAGCAAACGGG
rnacentral:rRNA from 1 species